rnacentral:tRNA from 1 species
CCCGGCGGUGGCGCCGGUGGUCACGACGCUCGCCGGCUUCCAGCGGGCGGGCGGCCCCGACCAGGACAACUACGUGUUCGUCGACCGCGCCGCCGGGUCC